rnacentral:rRNA from 1 species
GACGAACGCUGGCGGCGUGCUUAACACAUGCAAGUCGAACGCUGAAGACCUGGCUUUUGUUGGGUUGGAUGAGUGGCGAACGGGUGAGUAACACGUGAGUAACCUGCCCUCUUCUUUGGGAUAACGCCCGGAAACGGGUGCUAAUACUGGAUAUUCACUGAUCUUCGCAUGGGGGUUGGUGGAAAGGUUUGUUCUGGUGGGGGAUGGGCUCGCGGCCUAUCAGCUUGUUGGUGGGGUGAUGGCCUACCAAGGCUUUGACGGGUAGCCGGCCUGAGAGGGUGACCGGUCACAUUGGGACUGAGAUACGGCCCAGACUCCUGCGGGAGGCAGCAGUGGGGAAUAUUGCACAAUGGGCGAAAGCCUGAUGCAGCGACGCCGCGUGAGGGAUGGAGGCCUUCGGGUUGUAAACCUCUUUCGCUCAUGGUCGAGCCGCAACUGUGGGUUGUGGUGAGGGUAGUGGGUAAAGAAGCGCCGGCUAACUACGUG